AUGGCAAAGCAUGCAGGCUUUGCCAUCUGCUGGCAGACGACAACGUAUGUCGUUAGCCUUCUAACGGGGUUAACCCCGUUAAGAGGCUUUGCCAUCUGCCAGCUGAUGGCAAAGGCACAGGCUCUUUUUGCCAUCAGCCAGCAGAUGGCAAAGAAGCCUUUACCGGCAGGGUUUCAGACAAACUGUUUGCCAUCUGCUGGUAGAUGGCAAAGCCUUUGCCAUCCGCCAACCAUGCCUUUGCCAUCUGCCAUGGCAGAUGGCAAAGUGCCAGAUUCCAGUAGUGAGGUGUUUCUCAGUCGACGCAUCCAGCCGCUCUAG
rnacentral:rRNA from 1 species